CCCACACCCAUGUGUAGGACCCCAAAGGAUCACCAUUAAAUUUAGCACAGAUCUCUAGAAAAGUUAUCACAUGGGUGUGAGACUUGACUUUUCUAGAGAUCUGUGCCAAAUUUAAUGGUGAUCCUUUGGGGUCCUACUCACAUGGGUGUAGG
rfam:Amborella trichopoda AMTR_V1.0_contig_26454, whole genome shotgun sequence.